rnacentral:rRNA from 1 species
GACGAACGCUGGCGGCGUGCUUAACACAUGCAAGUCGAACGGAAAGGCCCUGCUUUUGUGGGGUGCUCGAGUGGCGAACGGGUGAGUAACACGUGAGUAACCUGCCCUUGACUUUGGGAUAACUUCAGGAAACUGGGGCUAAUACCGGAUAGGAGCUCCUGCUGCAUGGUGGGGGUUGGAAAGUUUCGGCGGUUGGGGAUGGACUCGCGGCUUAUCAGCUUGUUGGUGGGGUAGUGGCUUACCAAGGCUUUGACGGGUAGCCGGCCUGAGAGGGUGACCGGCCACAUUGGGACUGAGGUACGGCCCAGACUCCUACGGGAGGCAGCAGUGGGGAAUAUUGCACAAUGGGCGGAAGCCUGAUGCAGCAACGCCGCGUGCGGGAUAACGGCCUUCGGGUUGUAAACCGCUUUCGCCUGUGACGAAGCGUGAGUGACGGUAAUGGGUAAAGAAGCACCGGCUAACUACGUG